rnacentral:misc_RNA from 1 species
GUGAAUCAUUGAAUCUUUGAACGCAAAUUGCACUCUCUGCUGAGAGUAUGCCUGUUUGAGGUUCAGCCUAAGAAAAAUCGACAUAGGUGCCGUUACGCGUUAACAUGCGUCGGAAAUUGGUUCAUCUUAAACCUGUGGUUUUAAGCGGCGUAAAAUUUUCUUUACGAUUCCAAGAACGGUUCUAAGAUUUAAUUUUCUUAUACGUUUAAGGUAUCGAUCUUUAUGAGACGUGGCCUUGGCAUCGGAUCGCGUCCA